rnacentral:rRNA from 1 species
AUCGAACGCUAGCGGGAUGCCUUACACAUGCAAGUCGAACGGCGUGGCGAACGGGUGAGUACUGUAUCGGAACGUGCCCAGUAGUGGGGGAUAACUACGCGCAAGCGUAGCUAAUACCGCAUAUUAUUGUAGCGGCCUACAGGGGAUUAGCUAGUUGGUGGGGUAACGGCUCACCAAGGCUACGAUCCGUAGCUGGUUUGAGAGGACGACCAGCUACACGGGGACUGAGACACGGCCCAGACUCCUACGGGAGGCGGCAGUAGGGAAUUUUUGACAAAGGGGGAAACCCUGAUCCAGCCAUCCCGCGUGGGCGAUGAAGGCCUUCGGGUUGUAAAGCACUUUUGGCAGGAAAGCGGUACCUGCAGAAUAAGCACCGGCUAACUACGUGCCAGCAGCCGCGGUAAUAC